rnacentral:lncRNA from 1 species
UGUGACAAACUAUUAAGCAACACCAUCCUUAGACCCAGGCGAGGGCAGUCUCUGCCCUUGCUUAGCAGGGCCCUAAUCUGUCCUUCUUGAAGUCGCAGUCCUGGCCCACAGAUGACUGAAAUGACCAAAGAACUAGAAAAAAAUCCUUGCAUACCCACCUGCCAUAGUGUCCUAGAGCUGCCAUAACAAAGCACCGCACAUUGGGUGGUUACAGCAACAGAAAUUUAUUCUCUCCCAGUUCCAGAAGUUGGAAGUCAAGGUAUCAGUCGGGCCAGGCUCCCCCAGAGGCUGCAGGGGAGAAUCCUCCUUCACCACUUCCAGCUCCUGAAGGCUGCGGGCAAGGCUUGCAUUGCUCAACUCCUAUGCAGCUUCCCCCUUCCAGUCUCUGCCUUCAUCUUCACAUGGGCUUCUUCCUUCUGAGUGUAUCUCGGUGUAGUCUCUCCUCGUCUUAGAAGGACAGCAGUCACUGGACUUAGGGCGCACCAUACCCCUGUAUGAUAUCCUCUCAACAGUUACAUCUGCAAACACCCCAUUUCCAGUUAAGGUCACAUCCUGAGGUUCCUGGUGGAUGUGGAGUUUGGGGAGACAUUAUUCAACCCUGUACAAAGACUCUUGUUUUUUGUUUCUGUCUCUGUUUCUUUGUCUCUGUCAUUCUCUCUUCUUUGCAGGAUGAGUUAGCUUUGUAAAAAUUAAUUGGGACACUUUUAAAUUUUUUAUACCCUGAAAACAAUUCGAUCAUAUAGAAAUUCUCUCUUCCUUUAAGGUUUGACAGAAUUUGCCCAACGCCUCCCCCAAAUUGCCUAAGUUCACGUUUCAUCAAAGUCUUGCAGAGUUCUUUAUCAGCUGCUUCUGUGACUUUUCAUCUUGUUGAAUUUUUCUGCCUAUUCUUGAGUGGAUUAUAUUGUCUUAUUUUGGUUAAUAUUUUAUUAGCAUAAAUUUAAACACAGUGUGCUUUUAGCUUGAAUCCUCUUUCAUGUCUUUGUCUCUCAUCCCUUUUAUAUUUCUAGAGCUGUUUAUUUGCAUUUUUUUCUUUUUUUUCCUCAUGCAAACUUGCCAGAGGUUUGUCUCAUUUAUUGGUCUUUUUUUUUUUUUUUUUUUUUUUUUUUUGCGCAUGGUUCCUAGUCGGAUUCGUUUCCACUGUGCCACGAUGGGAACUCCUUAUUGAUCUUUUAAAAGAGUUAGCUCUUUGAUUUGUCUUAUCAAUUCUAUUGUUUUCUGUUUUCUAAUUUGCUUUUGUCUGCUUUUCUCUUUCCUUCUUUCCUUCUGCCACCCUUAGAUUUAUUUUAUUAGUUUUUAAUCUCAGUUGUUUAGCUAAUUGCUUUUUUAUUCAUUUUUAUCUUAUAACAAAACCACUUAGCUUUAUCUUU